UACGUAGGGGGCGAGCGUUGUCCGGAAUCAUUGGGCGUAAAGAGCGUGUAGGCGGCUUGGCAAGUCUGACGUGAAAGCCCGCGGCUCAACCGCGGAUUGUCGUUGGAAACUGCCUCGCUAGAGUCCGGAAGAGGAGAGCGGAAUUCCUGGUGUAGCGGUGGAAUGCGCAGAUAUCAGGAGGAACACCGGUGGCGAAGGCGGUUCUCUGGGCAUGAUCUGACGCUGAGGAGCGAAAGUGUGGGGAGGCGAACGGG
rnacentral:rRNA from 1 species